rnacentral:lncRNA from 1 species
CUGUGAUGACUUUUUAGUUUAUUCACGAUGUGAAAAUUCUAAUCUAUUUUCCUAUAUUGUAGCUUGUGGAGGUGAUAAAGAUGUACUGUGUUUCAGUAUCAAUAUAUGGCUGACAUUUUUUCUUCUUUUUUACAGGUUCUUUCACAUCUAUGACUAAAUCUUAAUGGAUUUUGGUGAGUAAUAAGCCUUGAUUUUGUGAAGGAAUGAAGAAC